UACGGAGGGGACUAGCGUUGUUCGGAAUUACUGGGCGUAAAGCGCACGUAGGCGGAUUUGUAAGUCAGGGGGUGAAAUCCCGAGGCUCAACCUCGGAACUGCCUUUGAUACUGCAAAUCUCGAGUCCGGAAGAGGUGAGUGGAAUUCCUAGUGUAGAGGUGAAAUUCGUAGAUAUUAGGAAGAACACCAGUGGCGAAGGCGGACUCACUGGUCCGGUACUGACGCUGAGGUGCGAAAGCGUGGGGAGCAAACAGGG
rnacentral:rRNA from 1 species